rnacentral:rRNA from 1 species
UACGGAGGGGGCUAGCGUUGUUCGGAAUUACUGGGCGUAAAGCGCGCGUAGGCGGCUUUGUACGUUAGAGGUGAAAGCCCGGAGCUCAACUCCGGAAUUGCCUUUAAGACUGCAUCGCUAGAAUCAUGGAGAGGUGAGUGGAAUUCCGAGUGUAGAGGUGAAAUUCGUAGAUAUUCGGAAGAACACCAGUGGCGAAGGCGACUCACUGGACAUGUAUUGACGCUGAGGUGCGAAAGCGUGGGGAGCAGACAGG